CAGGGACCAGAGUCGUGAGGGGGCGCAGGUCUGUACAUUCACCUGCUGUGUGUCUGUCGGGGGCGGCUCCAGCCUGGGGGAGACUCCUCAGUGUCAGGCUGCCAGCCCCCCCCCCUCUCUGAGGCGUCACCUUGCCACUGCCAGGCCUCUGCUGCAGGGGACAGCAGAGCCCCUGCACUAUGAAGGAAUCAAAUCGUUAUACAACUCAUCUAAUCAGAUUUACCACCACAAACAGGAGUUUAUGACCAGGAUUGGAGGCCACAACUCAACUAACAUCACAUGACGUGACCCCAAAUGACAACAGAAGAGAAGAAUCAAACAUGACAGGAAGUGAAACGACACGGGGCAAUGACAUGUCACAAAAAGAACAAGUGACACAAACUGAAGCAGACACGAGGUGAAGUGUCACGCAGCAAAAUCUCUCUACAUGAUAUUAAAUCACUCAAGACAUGAAAUACAAACAUCACAAGUGACAUCACAAGUGACAUCACGGCACAAUAUUUGCCAUGUGUCAUCUGAUGUGGUCUUCACCUCGCAGGCCCGGAGGCUCCGAGGCUCUGGAGGAGAGCCGGGUGUCGGCCGGGGGCCGAGGUCCUGGUGGAAGCAGAGUGAAGUCUGUGCUCUCAGGAAACUUCCUCCUGUGCUUUGUGUGGACGCACACGCUGUCACCUGCAGCUCCGUGUGUCCUCCUGUCUGGGUGUGUCCUACUGUCCGUCACCUCACGUCCUACACAGUCACCUGCAGCUCGGUGUGUCCUCCUGUCCGUCACCUCACGUCCAACACAGUCACCUGCAGCUCCGUGUGUCCUCCUAUCCGUCACCUCCACGUCCAACACAGUCACCUGCAGCUCCGUGUGUACUCCUAUCCGUCACCUCACGUCCAACACAGUCACCUGCAGCUCCGUGUGUCCUCCUGUCCGUCACCUCACGUCCAACACAGUCACCUGCAGCUCUGUGUCCUCCUGUCCAUCACCUCACGUCCUACACAGUCACCUGCAGCUCCGUGUGUCCUCCUGUCCGUCACCUCACGUCCAACACAGUCACCUGCAGCUCCGUGUGUCCUCCUGUCCGUCACCUCACGUCCUACACAGUCACCUGCAGCUCCGUGUGUCCUCCUGUCUGGGUGUGUCCUCCUGUCUGGGUGUGUCCUACUGUCCGUCACCUCACGCCCUACACAGUCACCUGCAGCUCGGUGUGUCCUCCUGUCCGUCACCUCACGUCCAACACAGUCACCUGCAGCUCGGUGUGUCCUCCUGUCCGUCACCUCGUCCCAACACAGUCACCUGCAGCUCGGGUGUGUCCUCCUGUCCGUCACCUCACGUCCAACACAGUCACCUGCAGCUCCGUGUGUCCUCCUGUCCGUCACCUCACGUCCAACACAGUCACCUGCAGCUCUGUGUCCUCCUGUCCGUCACCUCACGUCCUACACAGUCACCUGCAGCUCGGUGUGUCCUCCUGUCCGUCAUCUCACGUCCAACACAGUCACCUGCAGCUCCGUGUGUCCUCCUGUCCGUCACCUCACGUCCAACACAGUCACCUGCAGCUCCGUGUGUCCUCCUGUCCGUCACCUCACGUCCUACACAGUCACCUGCAGCUCCGUGUGUCCUCCUGUCCGUCACCUCACGUCCUACACAGUCACCUGCAGCUCCGUGUGUCCUCCUGUCCGUCACCUCACGUCCAACACAGUCACCUGCAGCUCCGUGUGUCCUCCUGUCCGUCACCUGCAGGGAGAUGGUCCACCACACCAGUCACAUUGUGCUGUAUGUGAGUUUUGGUCCCCCCCGCACCCAGAGCUUCAGACGCACUGGGCGGAGCUACGACGGAUCCUCGCUGGACUUACAAGUUAGACGGGAACAUUGAGUUAUUGUAGCACCACAGUUCAACAGGACAGUUGAAAUGUGCCUGAAUGUCCACUGUUGGCCGUGGGUGUAAUGCACCUUGUCGCCUCAUGGUGGCGGGAACAGGUCUUCAGUCCUGACAUUAAACAGAGGGCAGGCAGUUUGGAGCUGAUUCAAUACGAAGGGUUCUGUUUGGCACAUUAGAACGUCAGUCUCUUCUGCAGGAGGGGAACAGAAAGCAUGUGUGUGGUCUGUAGGGACAGUGUUUCACAUGACCUCUCACCUUCUGAGGGUUUUCUACCUGAUAGCAACAGGAACCGUUCAGGCAGCUGGAUGUGGAGCCGUUGGGAGGGAGAGGGAUGAGAUGGCAUCACAUUCUCGUUCUCAAACCAUCAAUCUGCUUAUUUCUGUAACCACAGACUUUCCCUCAUCCAUCGCUCCUCCUCCUCUCACCCCUCCAGCCUCCCUUACCCGAUGAGUUCCUCUUUACUUCAGCUCCUCUCUCCCACUCAUCCAUUAGCUGCUGUCGAGACUCAGAUCCCCUGAAUGUCCCAACAAUGUCCAGAACAUUCAUGAAGCAGUGAUGUCAAAUAGUAAUGGCUGUAAAGAAUGGAAGAAAGUAUGGCUAUGCAUGAAAAUACAGAGCAAACGUAUCCAUGGUAACACAGAUGAACAGCAACUUCCAGUGUUCACACCCUGACAGUUUACAUGGGUGGACACGGCGAGGGAGAGGAGACGCGAUUCCCCUUGUUUCCAUGAGUAUUGUGGAGUUACAGGCAGUAACAGUGAGUCAUCCACUGGACGGAUGGACACUCCUUUGUUCAAUCGCAGGAUACUUGGUAACACUUUGCUUGUUAUAAUGCUUAAAACAACUGUGCCUCUCAGCAUCUUAACACAAUCACAAUGUCAAUGUUGAAGUAAAUGUUUGACAUUUGGGGAUAUAUAUGGACAUAUGUGCAUUCACCCUGUGAUAAGUUAAACUGAGCUCGGUGUGUACUGUGUGUACCGUGUGUACCGUGUGUGCCGUGUGUACCGUGUGUGCCGUGUGUGCCGUGUGUGCCGUGUGUGCUGUGUGUGCUGUGUGUGUUGAGUAUACCGUGUGUACUGUGUGUACUGUGUAUACCGUGUGUACUGUGUGUACUGUGUGUGCUGUGUGUGCUGAGUAUACCGUGUGUACUGUGUGUGCUGUGUGUACCUUGUGUACUGUGUGUACUGUGUAUACCGUGUGUACUGUGUGCUGUGUGUGCUGUGUGUGCUGAGUAUACCGUGUGUACUGUGUGUGUUGAGUAUACCGUGUGUACUGUGUGUACUGUGUAUACCGUGUGUACUGUGUGGCCUCCACUGUAUGAGAGUUGUUCAUCUCAAUCUGAACAAGGUCAUAUGUGAAAUGCUGAACUAUUUCUUUAACAGUAGGUAUACUGAUGACAUUUUAAACACGUGCACCAUUUUAGUUUUGAAGGUAUUGAUAUGUGAUAUGAUAAGUGAUAUUUUGAUUAAAUGAUUUUUGUUUUACAAUUCAU
ensembl:lncRNA